AUGCGGGCCAUUUUUUGGAACAUCCAUGGAUUUGGCCACGCGGGGCGUCGGACGCAACUUAAGGAAUACAUGCGUAGAGAGGACGUCGAUAUAGUGGGGCUUCAGGAAACAAUCAAGGGUGAUUUCCGUUUCCAUGAGUUGCUCACUAUCGAUCCAUUGGAGCGCUACGAGUGGCAUCACGUUCCGGCGACUGGGCACUCCGGUGGCCUGCUGCUGGGCUUAAACCGCGCGCUAUACGAGAUCAUUGCCUGGGACGUUGGCUCGUUUUUUAUUGCCGCGCAUUUUAGGGUUAGGGCCUCGCGACGGGAGUUGGUUAUCAUUCAGGUCUAUGGGCCGGCCGAUCACGCGAGAUCGGCGGAGUUCUUGGGAGAACUCCAAGCCAAAGUCUGCUCUGUUACUGGGGCGGGGCUCCCUGUCCUGGUUGGCGGAGACUUCAACCUGAUAAGGUCGCGUGCGGAUAAGAGUAACAAUAAUAUUAACUGGCCUCGGGUGGCCAUGUUUAAUGUUGCGAUCGCUUCGAUGGCCCUCAGGGAGGUGGCUAGAACGGGCGCUCGUUUCACAUGGACAAACAAGCAAUUAGAUCCGGUACGCUCAGUGCUAGAUCGGGUGUUCAUGUCUCCGGAGUGGGAAAUGGGUUUUCCCCUCUGCACUCUGGUCGCGGAGACUCGUAUUGGGUCAGACCAUGUA
rnacentral:rRNA from 1 species